AUGGAGCAUAAUUUAUAACAAAUUCUUUUAUCAAUAAUAAAAUCCUUUACUGUCCACUUACCUCGGUGAGAUCCAUAAAACAACAUACGAAAGCAAUAACAUUAUCAUCAUCAUGAAAUCAUAUGAACUGUAUAACAUAAUACUUACCACACCUUUGCAUUUCAAUCAUUACACAACAUAUUUUCCUCAUUCACUAACCUACUAGUAUCCAUGGGGAUCCAUAGGGGUCCCGCUACCCGUGAACCCUUAACAUUUAUAACCUCAUUCCAGAGCCGUCCCCAUACCCCGUCCGGUAUGGGCACCAAAAUCAUGAACCUCAAUACCCCGUCCGGUAUGAGGGUGAAACGGGCCGUCCCCAUACCCCGUCCGGUAUGGGCGCCAAAACACCGAAGGUCUUUAUACCCCGUCCGGUAUGAGAGACCACGUUCCCGGUAGGGUUCCCUACGGACCCGGUCCGUCUACCAUCUCCCAGGAUAUCUAGUCAGGUUGUCCACAUUAUCCAUUUAUCAAUUCACGUAACCUUUUAUUCUUUUUUCCUCAGUCACCAUCAUCAAAUCAUACACAAACAUGCAAACCAGUAGUUUAUGCCAAACAAGAAAACACACAACAUCGGGUUCUCAGUCAUUCAACUCAUAAUCAAUAAAACAGUGAUAUAUACACACGAAACUAUGAAAUGAAAACAUCAAACAUCAUACUGCAUGUAAAACUGCAAAUUAGAUCAAACAGUAACAGACCAACACUGUAUCAGACUCGGACUCCAUUGGCAACCUUAAUCAAUUAUACAUUUAUAAAGUCACACAGUACAGUUUAAUUAUUUAUUUAGCUUUAAUACCGUGAUAGGAAAUAGGGUGAGGGGUCCUUACUUGUUUCGGGGUCUGAAUACGGCUCUACAGUGCGCCUACAGGCUGUCCCUAAUUUUCUCUAAAUUUUUUCCGAGGAGUUGAAACGCACUAGUAGUACAUGCACGUGUCCCAAAAAAUCCAAAAUUAGACCUAGGGCCCCUUUCGGCCAAUAU
rnacentral:lncRNA from 1 species